GCUUGCUCCCAGGCGUCGAGUGGCGGACGGGUGCGUAACGCGUAGGAAUCUACCCAGUAGUUGGGGACAACUCGGAGAAAUCCGAGCUAAUACCGAAUACGGUCUACGGACUAAAGGGGGCCUCUUCUUGAAAGCUCUCGCUACUGGAUGAGCCUGCGUCAGAUUAGCUAGUUGGUGGGGUAAUGGCCUACCAAGGCGACGAUCUGUAGCUGGUCUGAGAGGAUGAUCAGCCACACUGGGACUGAGACACGGCCCAGACUCCUACGGGAGGCAGCAGUGGGGAAUAUUGGACAAUGGGGGCAACCCUGAUCCAGCAAUACCGCGUGUGUGAAGAAGGCCCGAGGGUUGUAAAGCACUUUCAGUAAGGAGGAAAUCAUUAAGGUUAAUAACCUUGAUAGUUGACGUUACUUACAGAAGAAGCACCGGCUAACUCCGUGCCAGCAGCCGCGGUAAUACGGAAGGUGCAAGCGUUAAUCGGAAUUACUGGGCGUAAAGCGCGCGUAGGCGGCUUGGUCAGUCAGAUGCGAAAGCCCUGGGCUUAACCUGGGAACUGCAUUUGAUACUGCUAAGCUAGAGUGUGGUAGAGGGAAGUGGAAUUCCGGGUGUAGCGGUGAAAUGCGUAGAGAUCCGGAGGAACAUCAGUGGCGAAGGCGGCUUCCCUGGACCAACCACUGACGCUGAGGUGCGAAAGCGUGGGUAGCAAACAGGAUUAGAUACCCCUG
rnacentral:rRNA from 1 species